rnacentral:ncRNA from 2 species
AAUAUUUUAUGCGGGAGCUUGUGGAAGCGAGCUGAGAGUACGACUAAUCCGUCGUAGACCGGUUGAACCUGUUGGGUAAUGCCAGCGUAGGGAGUGGAAAUAGGAGUAUU